GCACUGCUGACGAGUCUGAAACAAGACGAAACAGCUGCCCAGUGC
rfam:Echinostoma caproni strain Egypt genome assembly, scaffold: ECPE_scaffold0001258